rfam:TPA: Bos taurus chromosome 3, whole genome shotgun sequence.
UCCCUGGUGGUCCAGUGGCUAAGACUCCACACUCCCAAUUCAGAGGGCCCAGGUUCGAUCCCUGGUCAGGGAA